rnacentral:lncRNA from 1 species
AUCAGACCUCCCAUAGGCCCAUGAGGUAGAUUUGGUAUUAAGCGGAUUCCUAAUAAUUCUGUUUCCUGGCAAGCUCCUGACAUCCUGCAGCAUAAUGCAAAUGCAGCUGGCUACCCGGGUCAUAGCUCCGACUAACCCAUCACGCUCACUGAUGUAUGACUUCACCUCUCUGAAUGUGUUCUCCAUAUCAGUCUUCCCACGAGGAUCCCAUACCUCAGCAGCUUAUUCAUUCAGUUACAGGACUCCACAAGGCUCUGGAAAUACAAACAUGAAAGGAGCACAGUCUAUGCUCUUUGGAGUCUGCGAGAAGAAAUGAUCAUCUGUCCUGACUCUGAAGGCCUUAGUUUCCUUGGUUGGAGCUGUUUCAACAUCUUGAAAUGAAACGACUAAUUAAAGUGUUUUUGUGUUUGGCUCAGAGUCUUUCUUUUUCUCUGGCUGGAGUUCUGUCUUUGGUUGCA